CCUACGGGUGGCAGCAGUGGGGAAUAUUGCGCAAUGGGCGUAAGCCUGAACCAGCCAUGCCGCGUGCAGGAAGACGGCUCUAUGAGUUGUAAACUGCUUUUGUACGAGGGUAAACGCAGAUACGCGUACCUGUCUGAAAGUAUCGUACGAAUAAGGAUCGGCUAACUCCGGGCCAGCAGCCGCGGUAAUACGGAGGAUUCAAGCGUUAUCCGGAUUUAUUGGGUUUAAAGGGUGCGUAGGCGGUCGGAUAAGUUAGAGGUGAAAUCCCGAGGCUCAACUUCGGAAUUGCCUCUGAUACUGUUCGGCUAGAGAGUAGUUGCGGUAGGCGGAAUGUAUGGUGUAGCGGUGAAAUGCUUAGAGAUCAUACAGAACACCGAUUGCGAAGGCAGCUUACCAAGCUACUUCUGACGUUGAGGCACGAAAGCGUGGGGAGCAAACAGGAUUAGAAACCCCAGUAGUC
rnacentral:rRNA from 1 species